UGUGCUGCGACCAAGCCUUCAUCACCAUCGUAGGGGAGGGAUAGAGUUGAGCGCCGCCAUGGGGGAGAGGAACUCGAUUCACCGACCACCGCGUCUCGGGGUUGUGCCUUGGGGUUGUCCCCGGCUAUAGGGUGGAAGGGUGAAGCCGUGCCGCUCGGGAUUCAUGACUGGUACCAUCGUAAUUCCUCGCCAUGGAAGAUCGUCGCCGCGGAUCCGCCCUUCGCAGUGAGCCAUUGUACCUCCGACACUAACCUCGGUGAGCAUGCCCCCUAUCGCUUCGCACUGUCAUCCUCUACGUGUACCAUAGGGCGGAUUGGAGGAUAGCCGUAGGAAUCGUCGGGCGCGCGUUGUUCGGCCAUGGCGCCGCCGUGCUGUGCAGUAGCGUCGCCGUGCCCUGCGUCGGGGGGGGGGGGGGGGAGGGCGAUCCCUCUUCCGUCCAUCCGAGAUUGGACGAUAUGGAUUAGAGUAUGGAAAACGAUUGGGUUGAAUAGAUCAAGGGACGUCCGUUAAGUGGUCGAUGGUCUUGAUUAGAUCGCGAGCGCAUUAAAUCCUAUUCUUGGAUCGCUGAUCCAACAGUCCAUCCAGCGUACUGGUUCGGUUAUUAACAGAUCAGAUUUGGGUCGUUCGUCUCUGAUCGGACGGCCGAGAACCCACCAUACCCCUUCGCCGUGCCAUUCUUACUUAAGAGCUCCUCUGUUUUCUUAGUAUCAACCCGCAAUCCCGAGUAGUUGAAAGACCAUUACGCAGAGGCCCUGGAAUUUAUAGAUUGACCCCUGCACUUCUCAGAAAUUGUGUGCGCAGUCCAGAACUUGAAGGAAUUUAAUAAAUGAAUAUAGAAAAUGAAUUUCUAGUGUAAAAAUAAUCCAGAACUUGUUUAAUUCAUAGAAAAUCCAUUUUAACUCCUUUUUAAUCCAUUUUAGUUGCAAUAAUUUUGUAUUAAUAUUGUUUAUCACUUGGUAGUUCUGUUUAACUAUGAACCAUAGAUUAAAAUUAUCCACUUGAUUUAUUCUUUACUAAGCACUUAAUAACUUCGGAAAAUCAUAACUCAAAAACCUUAACUCUGAAUUUAGUGAUUCUCGAACCUAUGAUCUCGUUACGAUGCGUAGAUUAUUAUCAUGUAUUUUGUACUCAUGUUUGGUGUGAUGUUAAUUUCUCUUAUACCAUGCUUGUUUGUAUUGCUACGAGUAAACGAGCAAGUGACCGAGGACCCAAGUGUUCAGUAGGAGGAAAUUGCUGUGCAGGAGUUCGUUGAAGGAGAAGAACAGUUGGUCCAAGAGGAGGCCUACAACGAGGAGUAUGGGCUUAUCUAGGUGGCGUCUCCCAGUCAGCUUGAUGGCGCCAAGGAAUAAUUAUUUAGUUCAUUUUAUUGUUAUCAUCUAUUUUUGUAAUACUUUCGCUAUGUAAUAAUGAUACUUGUGACAUUUAUCUCUAUACACUUUGUCAUUAUAUGUGAUGUU